rnacentral:rRNA from 1 species
GAGUUUGAUCGUGGCUCAGGACGAACGCUGGCGGCGUGCUUAACACAUGCAAGUCGAACGGUGACCUCGGAGCUUGCUCCGGGUGAUCAGUGGCGAACGGGUGAGUAACACGUGAGCAACCUGCCCCCGACUCUGGGGAUAACCCCCGGGAAAUCGGAGCUAAUACCGGAUACGAGACGCACAGGCAUCUGUUGCGUCUGGAAAGAAUUUCGGUCGGGGAUGGGCUCGCGGCCUAUCAGCUAGUUGGUGGGGUAGUGGCCUACCAAGGCGACGACGGGUAGCCGGCCGUGAGAGGGCGACCGGCCGACACUGGGACUGAGACACGGCCCACGACUCCUACGGGAGGCAGCAGUGGGG